UCGGUGGGGAUUAGUGUCUAACGGGUGAGUAACACGUGGGCAAUCUGCCCUUCACUCUGGGACAAGCCCUGGAAACCGGGUUUAAUACCGCAUAACACUUCCACUCUCCUGAGUGGUCGUUAAAAGCUCCGGCGGUGAAGGAUGAGCCCGCGGCCUAUUAGCUUGUUGGUGAGGUAAUGGCUCACCAAGGCGACGACGGGUAGCCGGCCUGAGAGGGCGACCGGCCACACUGGGACUGAGACACGGCCCAGACUCCUACGGGAGGCAGCAGUGGGGAAUAUUGCACAAUGGGAGAAAGCCUGAUGCAGCGACGCCGCGUGAGGGACGACGGCCUUCGGGUUGUAAACCUCUUUCAGCAGGGAAGAAGCGAAAGUGUCGGUACCUGCAGAAGAAGCGCCGGCUAACUACGUGCCAGCAGCCGCGGUAAUACGUAGGGCGCAAGCGUUGUCCGGAAUUAUUGGGCGUAAAGAGCUCGUAGGCGGCUUGUCACGUCGGGUGUGAAAGCCCGGGGCUUAACCCCGGGUCUGCAUUCGAUACGGGCUAGCUAGAGUGUGGUAGGGGAGAUCGGAAUUCCUGGUGUAGCGGUGAAAUGCGCAGAUAUCAGGA
rnacentral:rRNA from 1 species